rnacentral:lncRNA from 1 species
GAGAGGCGCGGCCAACGCCCGGCCUGGGAGGGACCGACCCAGUGCAAAGGGUGUCGGGGCGCGCCAGGGCUGUACAGCUUUGAACGUACUUGACUCACCUGCUCCGGCGUUGUCGCCUCCUUCUUCUGCUGACAGCUGGGGGCUUUGUUUUCUCCACCCCCUCAGCCGGCCACGCUCCGCCUCCACAGACUCACGUGACUCGCUGUCUGCCACCGUCAGAGUCCACUCGGGAGAGCCCCCUUGGCGCCGCCUCUUCCCCGGGUGGAGGGUGCAGGUAGAGACCCCAGCUGGGGAGGGGACCCAUAGGUACGAGGUGGUUCGCUGAGAAACUCCGGGUCAGACCCGCUAAACUAGUGACCGAGAGAAAAGUGCCUGAGGAGAAAGGGAGAUGGCUGUUGGCUGUAUUCAGCCAGGAGCAGGAAGGAGGGCGAGGCUUGCAGAAAGCAUUCAAAGGUCAUGAUGCCCCACCCUGAAGUACCCGCGCCUGGGGUCUGCACUGCUCCCCGAAACUAUUUGCACUCAUUCCUAGGACCUGGUGGAUAAUGAGGGGGCAAACUAGUUUUUUGUUUGUUUGUUUUCUUUCCACGAAUACUAAUUAAAAGAAGCGCCUCUUAGUCGGAUAGCGCGAUUAAUGACUUAGUAUCUACAUAUUCCAAAUCUACCUUUUGAUUCUGUUCAUGUUCGGUUCUAGCUGGAAAAUAGGUUCCGGACUGGGGACGCUCAUUCUGGAAGCUGAUUGGUGCGGGCACUUGUCCAUCUGGAACUGCAGCAGCUGUUUUUAAUGAAACGAACUAAGAAAAUGCUCUGGACUCAAUACCAGGCUCAGUAUCUGCAGCUCUUGGACGUUGUCCCGACCCUUGCUGUUCACAAUAUUCUCCAGUGUCUGACAUGGAAACAAAUUGUGGGACUCCUUCCUUUAGUUCCCAGAGAGCAGGAUAAUGCCCAGCUGCCUGUUGGAUGGGUCAUCUAUUUUAAUAUUGGAGCAAGUAAAUGGAUUGUUAAAAAGAUGAACAUUUUUCCCUCCUCAUUAAAAAUCUUGAAAUUUAAAU